CUCGUGAUUACUUCACCUAGCUACUCUUCUAAACCUACAAUUCACGUGAAGUCUCACCUGGUCUUUGCGAUCUCUCUUUCACUUCUAUAUAUGCUGCCAAAGACAUCAAGGAUUUUUGCCGGAAUCAGAGUCCGAAGAUCUUUCCACAACCCAGAGUGGAGGGCUUGGAAAACAGUGGAAAUAUGAAGAUCAACCAUGUCGCCACUAGCUUCUGUAAACACAUCCACUAGUGGAGUAGAA